ACCCCAGCUCAGGCGAGGGUACCCGCCGAGUUUAAGCAUAUCAAUAAGCGGAGG
rnacentral:rRNA from 2 species